UGUGUCACCCGCGAAUUGGCAGCGAUCAUGCCAGUCCAUAGACCAGCACACAAUAUAAGGCCUGCAAAACUGUAUCUGUUUCUAAUGAAGAAUGGAAAACGGGCUGAAAACCACCUGUGUGUAACGUUAGAUACCCUGCUUCAUCGAGUUUCAGCUCACUGUUUAGUUGGCCCGCAAGUUUACUGUUUUGGUUUACUCUCACCGAUAUCAUUUUCGGCUGUAGCCUAGUAACAUCAAAGUCUACGACCGCAGCAGACGGACAAAGUUAGCGGCUAGGCCAAGUAGACAGAAGAACAAUCCCAAAUAUAUGUUUCUACCUAACUCCUGGAUUGGACCGUUUUGUGAAGAAAUAAGUGGAUUGGGGGUCUCUUAUCAACUGUCUCAAAGAUGUGCUUCGAAGUUCGAAUGGGGUUUUCCUACCUUAGCUGUGGGACUGAUGUUGACUCUUCCCAAACAAAUGCCAGGCUAAGGGUUGUUUUGUGCUGUGUUCCCUCAUUUAUCAGAAGGCUGCCCUUCUCUGAUGGCCACUGAAGCUCCAUUAGUACCCACAGUCUUGAUUGAUGUUGCACAAUACUGUGUUGGAAGGCCAGGAUUGUUGUUCUGAACCAGCGGCAUGCUUAUUACAACAUCUUUUCACCGUAGAAAAGGGAAUUGCUAUGCUAAAUUGCCACGCUGAUGUUGGGAGGCUCAGAUUUGCAUUGAUGUGGGAGGCAAUGGCUACGUAAGUACCAGAGCCAGCUGCCAAGACAUCCAUGCCGCGAGACAAUAAGGGGAAAUCGCCAACUCUGUAGCCUGCUGAUGAGUACAUAGUUUCUUUGAUUUUGCAUUUUGAAACCGAGAUGUAAAGCUUGUAGCCCGCUGGACUGUCAAAAAGAAGGUGAUUUAAAUCAUUUAAGUUUGGAUUUGCUUUGUGCCAGCUCUGCUUUUGUUCCUUCCACAGUGGCUCUUUAUUGUCAUUAUCAAGGUCAUGAAUGAGUCAGAAAUGGAACUGAAAAUAGUUAUCAAAUUGUCUUCUCUCUGUGUCUGAAGGGUUUAUUGAAGGAUUAUUUGCCUAGUGUGGGCUGUUGAUGAUUAAGAUGAUGUUUUGAGAUUAUUUGUCUAUACAGAGAUGCAGUUAAUACGAGAGAAAGGGGAUGACAUGCAGGAAAGGCUGAGUCAGAUUCAAACUGACAGCCUUAACUAGCUCAUCUUCCCACGCACAAACAUUUCUGUUUUUAUUGUUAAAUUCAUGCUGUUUGGCUGAUGGUGUACAUUUUUUCAUCAUAUUUUCCUGCCAGCAGUAUAUGCAUACCAUUGCCUUCUGUACAACGACAUGUGACAAAGUGCGUGAUUGCUUUGCUGCAUAUUGAACGCACCAUUUUAGUAUUCCAGCGCUGCACAUUAUGACACCCGUUUCCACACAUUAACCUUUCCCGAGUUCUUUCCUUCCCGUUGUGCUCAUGUGUUCCCGGACUAUGAUUAAUAUGCCUUUGCCCUCAUGUGAUAAAAUCUUGUGACUCUGCCUCCCUGCCUACCUACAACACCAGUCACCUUAUUAUUUUCGAAAGGUUGUACGGUCACUGAGCUUAGAUUAUUUCAUUCGCUGUUCUACAUCUUAUGCCCCACAUGUUCCUUUCCUCAUUCAAAUGUGUUUUUUCUCCAGGAAUAGAAUAUGGAAAUGUCUUUUAGCUUAUGUGCGGAUGAUUUUUUUACUAAAUGGAUAGCCAUUUCAUUAACUUCCUACUAGAGCAUUUUGUGUAGAUGUCCUUGGUGUCUCUGAGCUGGUCCCUUUUUUUUGGGAAAUAGUUUUUGAUAAAAAUGUUUCAGUAGCGUAAAUAUACUGUCUCCUUUAAGGGUUAUGCCAGGUCUGUCUUUGGUGGUUUGGUUUUACAUGUGUUAAUCAAUAGUUUUCUUUUUUUGGUUUAACUUCAUGAA